rnacentral:tRNA from 1 species
GGGUGUGUAGCUCAGCUGGCAGAGCAGCGAUCUCCAAAGUCGCCGGUCGGGGGUUCAAAUCCCUCCGCACUCG